AGUCAUCCACCUUAAGAGAUCAGAGGAGCUGCCUCCAGCUUCUCGUUCUGUUCCUAUGAGUGAGACACAUUUUAUUCAGGUGGCUCUGGUGGAGGCAACAGGAUGAGAAGACUAAGGAAUGGUAUUCUGCAAAUUUACAGGUGUGUUCUACAGGAGGCAUGGCCAUGGAACUAAGGCAAAAGCAGUGUUUCCUAUAUGAACGAAAGGAAGGUGAGAAGAUGGCUUUGAUGACAUGGAGACUUGGAUCGUGUGUUUUCCGGGUUCCCAUUCUGUUUUCUCCUGAGUGAAGUACAAGUCAGGAUGUGAGAAAAUAUGCAGACAGGGCUGGAUAUACUCUCACGCCUGGUUCCUAGCAAAGAACUCUCAUCCAAUGGCUGAUGGAGACAGAGUCAGAC